rnacentral:misc_RNA from 1 species
UUAAGUUGUACCAUCAUGCAAAGAAAUCUCUUCCAUGUAAGACGAACAUCGUUACAGAGAAUUCGGACAAUUCAUCAUUUCUUUCUCCACCAGCAAAAGUAAAUUGGGUUCUUUCUAGUCCUAAAGGGGAUGCUUGGAAUCCUUUGAUUUCUGGAACACCUAUUCCUGAUUCACUAAAACAACAAUGGACUAAAAGAUUCAAGUUGUUCAUGAAUGACGAGAACCUGAAUGCAGAAAAGUCAGACUAGAAAGGCACUAAACGGAGAGAAUGCAGUUGUUUACGCUUCAAGAAAGCUCGGACUGCUUCUGACUAUGAGAAUUGGAUGCUAAAUCUUGUACAUACUAACAUUAUGCAACUCCUUAAUCACUUUGCUGUUUAACCACUGUAGAGAAUCUGUUGUCCUGUUUAUUCUGUGUUUGUUCAUGUGUUGUAUAAUAAUUCGACAACUUUUUUCUUAUGGUACAUGUUCAAGUACG